UACGUAGGGCGCAAGCGUUGUCCGGAAUUAUUGGGCGUAAAGAGCUCGUAGGUGGCUUGUCGCGUCUGCCGUGAAAGCUCAUGGCUUAACUGUGGGUCUGCGGUGGAUACGGGCUGGCUAGAGGUAGGCAGGGGCAAGCGGAAUUCCUGGUGUAGCGGUGAAAUGCGCAGAUAUCGGGAAGAACACCCGUGGCGAAGGCGGCUCUCUGGGACGGUACUGACGCUGAGACGCGAAAGCGUGGGGAGCGAACAGG
rnacentral:rRNA from 1 species